UACAGAGGGUGCAAGCGUUGUUCGGAAUUACUGGGCGUAAAGCGCGCGCAGGCGGGUCUGUAAGUCAGAAGUGAAAUUGCACUGCUCAACGGUGUAGCUGCUUCUGAUACUGCAGAUCUUGAGACCGGUAGAGGUUGGUGGAAUUCCAGGUGUAGCGGUGAAAUGCGUAGAUAUCUGGAGGAACACCGGUGGCGAAGGCGGCGUUCUGGACCGUUACUGACACUGAGGAACGAAAGCCAGGGGAGCAAACGGGG
rnacentral:rRNA from 1 species